rnacentral:rRNA from 1 species
UACGUAGGGUGCAAGCGUUAAUCGGAAUUACUGGGCGUAAAGCGUGCGCAGGCGGUUUUGUAAGUCAGAUGUGAAAUCCCCGGGCUUAACCUGGGAACUGCGUUUGAAACUACAAGGCUAGAGUGUGGCAGAGGGGGUGGAAUUCCACGUGUAGCAGUGAAAUGCGUAGAGAUGUGGAGGAACACCGAUGGCGAAGGCAGCCCCCUGGGUUAACACUGACGCUCAGGCACGAAAGCGUGGGAGCAACAGG